rnacentral:rRNA from 1 species
AACGCUGGGGGUGUUAACACAUGCAAGUCGAACGAUGAAGCCCAGCUUGCUGGGCGGAUUAGUGGCGAACGGGUGAGUAACACGUGAGUAACCUGCCCUUGACUCUGGGAUAAGCCUUGGAAACGAGGUCUAAUACCGGAUAGGAGCGCCUACCGCAUGGUGGGUGCUGGAAAGAAUUUCGGUCAUGGAUGGACUCGCGGCCUAUCAGCUUGUUGGUGAGGUAAUGGCUCACCAAGGCGACGACGGGUAGCCGGCCUGAGAGGGUGACCGGCCACACUGGGACUGAGACACGGCCCAGACUCCUACGGGAGGCAGCAGUGGGGAAUAUUGCACAAUGGGCGAAAGCCUGAUGCAGCGACGCCGCGUGAGGGAUGACGGCCUUCGGGUUGUAAACCUCUUUCAGUAGGGAAGAAGCGAAAGUGACGGUACCUGCAGAAGAAGCACC